rnacentral:rRNA from 1 species
ACACAUGCAAGUCGAGGGGUAACAGAAAAAGCUUGCUUCUUGCUGACGACCGGCGCACGGGUGCGUAACGCGUAUACAAUCUACCUUUUGCUGAGGGAUAGCCCAGAGAAAUUUGGAUUAAUACCUCAUGGUAUGUGAUCAUGGCAUCAUGAUCACAUUAAAGGUUACGGCAAAAGAUGAGUAUGCGUCCUAUUAGCUAGAUGGUGUGGUAACGGCAUACCAUGGCUACGAUAGGUAGGGGCCCUGAGAGGGGGAUCCCCCACACUGGUACUGAGACACGGACCAGACUCCUACGGGAGGCAGCAGUGAGGAAUAUUGGGCAAUGGACGGAAGUCUGACCCAGCCAUGCCGCGUGCAGGAAGACUGCCCUAUGGGUUGUAAACUGCUUUUAUACAGGAAGAAACACCUCUACGUGUAGAGGUUUGACGGUACUGUAAGAAUAAGGAUCGGCUAAACUCCGUGCCAGCAGCCGCGGUAAUACGGAGGAUCCAAGCGUUAUCCGGAAUCAUUGGGUUUAAAGGGUCCGUAGGUGGAUUAAUAAGUCAGAGGUGAAAUCCUGCAGCUUAACUGUAGAACUGCCUUUGAUACUGUUAAUCUUGAGUCAUUAUGAAGUGGUUAGAAUGUGUAGUGUAGCGGUGAAAUGCAUAGAUAUUACACAGAAUACCGAUUGCGAAUGCAGAUCACUAAUAAUGUACUGACACUGAGGGACGAAAGCGUGGGGGAGCGAACAGGAUUUAGAUACCCUGUAGUCCACGCCGUAAACGAUGGUCACUAGCUUGUUUGGACUUCGGUCUGAGUGGCUAAGCGAAAGUGAUAAGUGACCCCACCUGGGGAGUACGUUCGCAGAAUGAAAACUCAAAGGAAUUGACGGGGGCCCGCACA